rnacentral:rRNA from 1 species
UACGUAGGGGGCGAGCGUUGUCCGGAAUUACUGGGCGUAAAGGGCGCGUAGGCGGCCCGUUAAGUCCGCUGUGAAAGACCGAGGCUCAACCUCGGGGUGUCAGCGGAGACUGUCGGGCUGGAGUCUCGGAGAGGGAUGCGGAAUUCCUGGUGUAGCGGUGGAAUGCGUAGAGAUCAGGAGGAACACCGAUGGCGAAGGCAGCAUCCUGGCCGAGUACUGACGCUGAGGCGCGAAAGCGUGGGGAGCGAACGGG